GACGAACGCUGGCGGCGUGCUUAACACAUGCAAGUCGAACGAUGAAGCUGGAGCUUGCUCCGGUGGAUUAGUGGCGAACGGGUGAGUAACACGUGAGCAAUCUGCCCCUGACUCUGGGAUAACUGCGGGAAACUGUAGCUAAUACCGGAUACGAGACCUGAAGGCAUCUUCGGGUCUGGAAAGAAUUUCGGUCAAGGAUGAGCUCGCGGCCUAUCAGCUUGUUGGUGAGGUAAUGGCUCACCAAGGCGACGACGGGUAGCCGGCCUGAGAGGGUGACCGGCCACACUGGGACUGAGACACGGCCCAGACUCCUACGGGAGGCAGCAGUGGGGAAUAUUGCACAAUGGGCGAAAGCCUGAUGCAGCAACGCCGCGUGAGGGAUGAAGGCCUUCGGGUUGUAAACCUCUUUUAGCAGGGAAGAAGCGAAAGUGACGGUACCUGCAGAAAAAGCACCGGCUAACUACGUGCCAGCAGCCGCGGUAAUAC
rnacentral:rRNA from 1 species